rnacentral:lncRNA from 1 species
GCAUUUCUUUGGCAUUAAAAACCUGCAUUGAGCUAUUGCAGAUCACUCAGGAUAUAUCUAGCAGAGAGGAUAUAUCUAGCAGAGAGGAUAUAUCUAGCAGAGAGGAUAUAUCUAGCAGAGAGGAUAUAUCUAGCAGAGAGGAUAUAUCUAGCAGAGAGGAUAUAUCUAGCAGAGAGGAUAUAUCUAGCAGAGAGGAUAUAUCUAGCAGAGAGGAUAUAUCUAGCAGAGCACCGGGAAAGCAAGCUUCUUGUGAGGACAAAGAGCAGCUCAGGGGCUGGAGUGAAAUAGCCACUUGAAUCCACAUGUGUGAAGGAAGAUUGCAUCGUAAAGAGUCAGAAACAGAAUCCCGUGUAUGAAAUGAGGAGCUGAGCCCUCCUCUAUCCUCUUGCUCCCCUUGGAUUGUGUGUCUUGUCCUCAGAACCAUCUCCGAAAGCUGUUAUCGAAGCUCUACAAAUAAAGGCUCAGGCAGGUAGACAGCCCCUGGGGAGCCAGAGGCUCACUCAGAUCCACCACCCUGCCCUUUCUACGUAACCUCUGUCUUCUGCCAUUGGAUCCACCAGUGCAGAAGCAGCACUUUGUGUCUUUAAUACUCUCAGCAGAUUAGUGGCUUGUGCAAAAACAUAGGACUCUAGAGACAGACACUUGUACCUGGAUUCUUACUGUGGAAAUGGGGCUUGACUAAUUCACAACUGUUGACUUCUAGUUUUCACAUGACCAAACUUUUUAAUAUCUAGAUUGAUCCUUUGAUUUAAUGACUAAAGUUACAACAGUGGGCCACUCCUUCAUAUGAAAGAUUAGUCUAUGGAGCUGGAUGUUGAGGAUGAGGCUCACACCCAGUUCUUUCUCUGCCCCACAGUUGGUUCCAGUGCUGGGGCACCUCACUACAGCUCACUGCUCUCAUAAGCCCGAGAGCAGCUCUGCACCUUCUGCACACGGGUGCCAGGCCAUGGGCGGGCUCCUCACAUGGGCGGGCUCCUCACAUGGGUGGGCUCCUCACAUGGGUGGGCUCCUCACAUGGGCGGGCUCCUCACAUGGGCGGGCUCCUCACAUGGGCGGGCUCCUCACAUGGGCAUGCUCCUCACAUGGGCAUGCUCCUCACAUGGGCAUGCUCCUCACAUGGGCAUGCUCCUCACAGCUGACGUGUUUUCCAGAGUCCACAGCUCAGUAGCCUGCUACCCAGCAGUGCUUCCAGCCCAAGCGUCAGGUUUCAAUCUUACAAUCUUACUGAAAUAAUAUUUUCUUUAAACUGGCCUCCUUGAGAUUUUGAAAAUUGAACAGUUCCUAUUUAUGCAAUAUUAUGUUCAGAGUGGUAGUUUACAGUGUGAAUAAAAACUCUCAUUUGCAUGGAGAGAGUGAAUCUUUUUUGUUGUUACUUUCACUUUUCCAGUUAAGACUGCUUUCUAAUGAAAGGCUUGAUGAGGGGAUGAGAGAGGGGUGUGUGUGAGUGUGUGUGUGUGUUGGUGUGUUAAUGUUGUGUGUGUGUGUAGUUAGUUGAGACAGAGUAGUUUUAAUGUGUCAGUUCGUGUUAAUUCUGUCUCCUUUGAAGGCUGAAGUUCAGGAUGUCAGGGUUAUGAGGAACUGGCUGACUCGUGCGCUAAUGCUGCAGACUGUUCUGUGACAUGCGCUGUUGAUGUGAUCCAUGGUUCCUGUAACACAUCACGUAAACUGCUGAGGAGAGGCUGGGGACUUGCGUCCCCCUUGCCUAUUUCUAAGUCUUGAAAGCUGUUUUUCUAAACAGCUUUUAAUAAUAAGGCAGUUUAUUGAUACUAAGUUCCACUGAAUUUUAUUUAUAUGUAUAUAAAAGUAAACCAUGAACUCAUUAGUAUUUUCAUUGCUGGUAAUACUUUGUUUUCUAAAGAGUAGAGUUUUCCUAUGAAAUCCACCAUAGUGAUCAGUAGGACCACAUUUUGAUACAGGAAAAGUCCUGGUAUAGAAAACAGCACUAUAGAGGCAGAAGUUAUUAUUCACACACUCACAGUAGGGCCACCUUGCCCCUGAGGAUACAAGUCAGUAUGGGAAUGUACACCAAAACAGGGAGACCUGUACUUCCAACAGAAAUUUGCUUUCUCCAUUACAACAAAAGCUAAUUGUAUUAUGUGAUAUUUAGGCUUCUUUGUCUGUUAUGCCAAUACUGAUAAAGUUUCUGACUAUCUUU